CGAUGAGUGCUAAGUGUUAGGGGGUUUCCGCCCCUUAGUGCUGCAGCUAACGCAUUAAGCACUCCGCCUGGGGAGUACGACCGCAAUGUUGAAACUCAAAGGAAUUGACGGGGACCCGCACAAGCGGCGGAGCAUGUGGUUUAAUUCGAAGCAACGCGAAGAACCUUACCAAAUCUUGACAUCCUUUGACAACUCUAGAGAUAGAGCCUUCCCC
rnacentral:rRNA from 1 species